CGGCAACGGAUAUCUCGGCUCUCGCAUCGAUGAAGAACGUAGCGAAAUGCGAUACUUGGUGUGAAUUGCAGAAUCCCGUGAACCAUCGAGUCUUUGAACGCAAGUUGCGCCCGAAGCCAUCAGGCCGAGGGCACGCCUGCCUGGGCGUCACACGCMGUUGCCCCCCC
rnacentral:rRNA from 1 species